rnacentral:rRNA from 1 species
AGAGUUUGAUCCUGGCUCAGGAUGAACGCUAGCGGCAGGCUUAACACAUGCAAGUCGAGGGGUAACAGGGUGCUUGCACCGCUGACGACCGGCGCACGGGUGCGUAACGCGUAUACAAUCUACCUUAUAGAGGGGGAUAGCCCAGAGAAAUUUGGAUUAAUACCCCAUAGUAUUAUGAAAUAGCAUUAUUUUAUAAUUAAACAUUUAUGGCUAUAAGACGAGUAUGCGUUCUAUUAGUUAGUAGGUAAGGUAACGGCUUACCUAGACAUCGAUAGAUAGGGGUCCUGAGAGGGAGAUCCCCCACACUGGUACUGAGACACGGACCAGACUCCUACGGGAGGCAGCAGUGAGGAAUAUUGGACAAUGGGCGAGAGCCUGAUCCAGCCAUGCCGCGUGCAGGAAGACGGCCCUAUGGGUUGUAAACUGCUUUUACAGAGGAAGAAACACUCCCUUGCGAGGGAGCUUGACGGUACUCUGCGAAUAAGGAUCGGCUAACUCCGUGCCAGCAGCCGCGGUAAUACGGAGGAUCCAAGCGUUAUCCGGAAUCAUUGGGUUUAAAGGGUCCGUAGGCGGGACAAUCAGUCAGCGGUGAAAGUCUGUGGCUCAACCAUAGAAUUGCCAUUGAUACUGUUGUUCUUGAAUACUUAUGAAGUGGUUGGAAUAUGUAGUGUAGCGGUGAAAUGCAUAGAUAUUACAUAGAACACCGAUUGCGAAGGCAGAUCACUAAUAAUUUAUUGACGCUGAUGGACGAAAGCGUAGGUAGCGAACAGGAUUAGAUACCCUGGUAGUCC